rnacentral:rRNA from 1 species
UACGAAGGGGGCUAGCGUUGUUCGGAUUUACUGGGCGUAAAGGGCGCGCAGGCGGCUAUCUAAGUCAGGCGUGAAAGCCCCGGGCUUAACCUGGGAGGUGCGUCUGGGACUGGGUGGCUAGAGUUCGGGAGAGGAGAGUGGAAUUCCCAGUGUAGAGGUGAAAUUCGUAGAUAUUGGGAAGAACACCGGUGGCGAAGGCGGCUCACUGGCCCGGUACUGACGCUGAGGUGCGAAAGCGUGGGGAGCAAACAGG